UGCUGCGUAAACUUUAUUUUCGCUUUUCCGUAACAGUCCUUGGAUCGUGAUUGUCCUCUUUCCCAGCAUAGGCAAGUAGAAAACUUGUUUCCCCUCUCUCGAAAUGGUCUGAGAAGUUCGACCUCUACCGGAGGAGGAUACAGUAGGCUAUCGCCUUUCGGCAGACUCUAAAUAUUCCGGUGCAUCACGAAGGAAGGCACGAUUUCAUCUGGACAAAGUACAUCGCCAAGUAGUGGAAAGUGAUGCGGAAGUGCCCCGCGGAAUGACCUGGAGCAGGCGAUCAUAAGCGUUGGAAUUAGCAAGUUGCCGAAGUUGUAGGUCAUGAGAGCUGAUUUUGUUGGUGAGACGCACUCCCCAAUCUAGCGGAAAUGUUCGGUUCGGAAACGGCAGACUAGUGAACGGACUCUCCGACGAAGCAGCGCUGCGAGUAUUGUUUGAGGUUAUCGAGCUUCGUGUGAGAGACUCCCCGGUGUCACCCAUCGUGAACUAGCCGCAACCAGCCUCUAUCGGACAGUCAGAUGGUCCUAAGAGUGCACCACUUAUAUGAGGAGUAUAUUUUAAAUGUAGCGAUUACGUAUGAAAUAAACUUAAUGAUUUUAACACAUGGGGGGAUGGGGAGCA